AAACUGUUGACAUUUUUGUUAUGUUUUUGUAUACUUUGUAUAUUUAACAUUACUUAUAUAGUAAAAAUUUCUAACAUAUAUAAUAUUUGCACAUAAUAUUUUAUUUACAAAUAGAUAAUGCAAUGAUAGGUUUUUUAAAUACCCGUUAUUAAACUAUUUAACAGUUUAAUUAAAUGCCAAUAAAAUUACAGAGCCUUUUUUUUAUAACAUUCAAUUCAGUUGUCUAAGACAGUUGUAAGUUGUAUUAAAACAAGGUUUUUACUUAAUAUACAUAAUAUAUUAAGUAUAAAUUUAAGACAAUCAAGUUAUAUUAAGACAAUGUCUUAAUCAUAAUAUAUAUUUUAUUUAUUUGAAUGGAAAGUUUUUUAUUUUGUUGUGGAACUAGACUAGAUAUUACCUAAUAAGCAUCUUAUAACUUGUGUAAUGUGUUUCUUUUACGAAUUUGUAUAUUGGCAUAAUCAUAUCAUGCUAUUCCUACAAUUAUAUAACUCACACUGACUCUCAUAAGUUUGAGUCUCAAGUCACGAAAAAGGUUUUUUAGGUGGAAAGUUACCAAAAUAUGUUAAGGACUUAAUUCAGAGAUAACGAUUUGCAGUCGAUAAUCUUUCGAAAACAGAAAAACUCAAGUUAGCAUCAAAUAGAAAGUUAUCGCAAUUUCUGUGUCAAACAAAGAAUACGCGAAUUAUUUGAGAUAUGAUUGAAAUUUGCAAAGAAAGUAAAAAUCAAACUAGUUUCAUUCUAAGUUAUUGUAUAUAAUUUUAAAAUUUUGGAAUAGAAGUGAUGCAAUGUUUAUUUA